UCAGAUAGCUGAUACUCCGCUUCCUUAUUAUUCAGAGUGUCUGUUACCUGACC
ensembl:miRNA gga-mir-7465 gga-mir-7465